AAUAAUCACCUUUUUAAACCCCAGUCUUUCUUCUUAUAACUGUGAGUGGAUCUGAAAACUUAAUAUCGUUAACAAAUUUUAGUGUACCUUUUAGCUUUUGUUCUAAAGAACGGCUGCCUACCUUUCAGUUUCUUUAUUGCAUUGGUAUUACACCAGUUCCUCUAUUCCCUAUUUGUCUGAAGAUGAAUCUACAACCCAUGUUUUCAUACAUUGUUACAUUGCCAAGAAAUUUUGGUUUAAACAUUGAUUUGCUUGAUUUCUCAACAAACCAUUGGUUGUUCUAUCUUCAACAAUUGAUACUACUAUCAUCAAUGUCUUUAUCUUUUCAUUACACUUGGAUAGAUUUUUUACCCUUUUGUACUUUGGCAUUUAUGGUUGAAUCGUAAUGGUAAUCUGUACAAUUACAAACACUUUUUUUUGUCAAAGAAUUUAGUAAUCUCUAAGGUCAUUGAAUUCAAGUUCUUCACUUCCACAGAUCCCUCUAUCCAAAAACGAUUUCUUCUUUCCAUUGUCUGGAUAAGACCUUCUCUUAACACCUUUAAACUAAAGGGCAACGACUUUUUUAUUCGAGGCUCUACCCAAGGGGGUAUUGGUGGUGUUAUACGCGAUUCCAAGGGUGACUGGGUUAUGGGUUAUGUUUGUUGUUGCGAUGUUAUUAAUCCUAUUUUUAUUGAACUCCAAGCCUUGAUCAAAGAUCUUGAACUUGUGGUGUUAAAGAAUUACCAACCUAUAGAAAUCGAAGUAGACUCUGUGGAUAAUAUACUAAACUUGCUUGAAGUCCACAAUUCCAUAUAUAACUCUGCUAUUUCUAUGUGUAGGUUGUUGUUGAGGAGAUUGGGGAAUCCAGUGCUCCAGCAUAGUUUUCGUGAACCCAAUGGUGUUGCUUGCUCGCUUUUUGUGUACGCAGGUUUUCCGUCACUCUUCCCCUUCUCAAGUUGAUGUUUUGUUGCAGCCGCCCACUCAAGCCUUGCCUUUGCUCCUCCAUGAUAAGCUACGCAAAACUAUCUCUAGACUAGUUAAUAGGAAUAUAUGUAAUAGUUAACUAGUUAGGAAAAUCUGUCUGUAAUAUCUAGUGAUCAAGACACUAUGGUUAUCUCACCUGUAACUUCUUAGUUCUAUAUAUUUAUAUAUUCGCAGUUAUCCAAAAAAAAUUGUGGACAUCUCUAAUUUAAUACUAGACAUAAGACUCCAUGUUC
rnacentral:lncRNA from 1 species